rnacentral:lncRNA from 1 species
UGUUAAUAAACGUCUCAUCAACAACGGAUCCGCUUCAGCUGAACGCACAUGCAUCUGUUGGCUUGGGGGCGGCAAAGAUAAGGGCAGGGCAGGGAGGAGAAGACGUCCGUGGACAAAACUCGAUCUUUGUUUCAUGUGCAGUCGUUCCUCGUUCGCUUUCAAGGAUCAACUGGUGGCUUAUCUCCAGGUAGGGGGUAUCGCCAGGUCUACAUGGAGUCGAGUUAGUUAACCAGGGAUGGAAAGAAAGUGCAUGGAAUUUAGCAAGGCAAAAGAAGACAACGGUGCAUGUCCAUGUCCGUCGGAUGAAAGCUUCGAUCUGUCCAAAGCGUAAGGCUUCUAUCAGUGACGAUAGGUACUAGUAGUACAGUUUUCACGUCAAUUUUCCAACCCAAGUCAUCACUCAACUGCACAUACAUACCAGACACGUCCGGAACACGGCAACAGAUCUCCAUUUCCUGGGGCAGCCAAAGAGCUACACACCAGUAAAACUCAUGCGUUCCAAACUGGCCGAACAUUUUCAGUCACAGAGAUACACCCAAGGCAAAGCUCACGAUGCUCCAUUGGAUCUGGAUGCUCAUCUCCAGAGAAUGAUCUGAUUUCCUCAGAAGAACACAACAUGCGGCAAAAUGGUACAGCUAUACAAUUGAAUCUCUGCACAACUUACAAGCCUCGGUCUAAGCGAAUAAUUUCGGCCUAGGCAAAACGGAAAAAAAAAUCAAUGAAUGAUGUGGUACAAUACUAUUCCUAGUAGUACAACUCUGAACUCAAACUCCUCGCUCUAGAUCGCAUCGGGUGCCUAAUUUACAUACCUCCUNNN